AGGGUGUCGCAAGGUCAGUCCAAUCAAUCUCCUACGCCAUAGACGAUGCCCCGACUUUUUUUAUGUCCAUCGACAAUGAUUCCUCACAUAUAAACCAUGCGACAACCAUGGACGACCUUUUGUUGAAGAAUCUAUUGUUUGCUCGAGUGGAUUUGAUCUUUAGUCUUCCCUUUCUUUCUAUGGUUGUGAGUAAUCUAAUCCAAUUCGCAGCUCCAUGCACGAUCAAGGCUAGGGUGUGAAUUAUGACUGUGUCGUAUGAGGCCAUGAUUGUGGCAGGGAUGUUUGGUGGCACGAAGUUGUUUAGUAACAAGAUGGGUCUAAACUCAGCUACUAGAGAUCUGAGCGGAAACACAGGAGGAGUUCCUAUCAUCAGUUCUAGCCGUAAAGUCGAAUGCCUAUGUUGGUGAGCUCUAUAAUCCAAACACCCAGAAGAUUGUACCCCCUUCGUUCCAUAAUAAAAGAUCUUAUUACAUUCGAUGUAAUAAGAUCUUAUAUUAUCGGAUAGCGGGAGUAGAUGUUAUUUUGUACUCUUAGCAUGUAAGUUGUUUUAAACUUUUUAUUAGCAGCUUGUGACUUUUCUAAAAAGUAAGGUCAUGUAGGCACAUGGAGCGCUCCUUUUUUUCGUCACUUUCUACUCAAUUGUAGAGGUUUAUUUAUUGCAGUAUAAUAAUUACUUCUUGUUGAGGUUACUCUGCAGCACUUGCUGUCCUUGCCUUUUCUGAUAUCAAGGGGCCAAUACAACUUCUCUGAUUAUAAAUGUGUGCAACAUGACUAUUUGAAAGAAGCUCUGUUUGAGAAAUUGAGGCUAGAGUUCUGAUGUAAGUACGGCAUCAGCAUUUGUGAGCGCCUUUAUAUGCUGACCAUCUCAUCUUUGCGGCAAGUAAGCAGUUUGAUAUACUGCUUGCUUUGAUAUAGGCAUUUAGCGAUGAAAAUUGUCAUCUAUUCAUGUUUACAUAUACUUAAUCUGAUGGAGACAUGAGCCUGCCGAAUGCCUCCACGUUAGUAAUGCACAUCUCAGACGAUACACUCUUCUUCUUUCUUGACUAAACUUUCACACUGAUUAUGCAUCAUGGAUCAGAUCCAACAUAUUAGUUUAUUUGCAUGUACGUAGACGGAUGACAAGUAAAAUAAAUUCAAGGAUCUUAGUGCAGUUUGUCAGCUACAAUUUCACGAUCAUUUAUGGGCUUAGGGAGUCAUCAUCGUCUCCCCCUUCGCCUUAAUUGUCCUCACCUACAGUCCAACAACCUCCUGGAGCUCGAUUUUAUGCUCGGUUUCAGAUUUGUUAGUAAGGGACUGCUGAUCCUAUUUGUUUGUUCUGAGAACAACGAACAUGUGAACUCCCAUGACCACUCUUUAUUCUAUUUGUAAAUUUAUCUGAUUCUUUCUAUAUGUAUGUACAAUGUUCUUGUUGCGGAGCACAGGAUAGAUGUGAUACUCCAAACUCCCACUAAAUAAUUGCAUAGUUAAUGAUUCAAAUCUUAGCAUCUCAUAAUGGGUGUUGAAUUACGUUCAAGUAAUCUUAUUCGUAUUUGGUGAUCUGUUGUAGUGUACAAAUCAUUUUUCAUAUAUAUCAUGACCUCUUCGUAAUGUUUUCUUACCAUUUCUCAAUGGGCACCGGUUUCUGCUAUCACUUGCAAUUAUUUCUUAGGUAAUUUUCUGGACCAGUACACACCCAUACUUUCAGGAUUACGAACACCAGUGGGUUAAUAUGUUACUAAAACUGUUGGUACCUCAUCUGGUUGGAUGGGGGCUUAAUCUUGUUCUAAAAAAAAUACCAGUACACACAUCAAUUUAUUUUAAUGUUCUAGGAUAUAUAAUAAAUGUGUGAUGUUUUUGAACUGUGUUUCACAUGGAACUAUUGAUGUUGUUCUGAACAAAGAAAAAAGUUUGCUUGGUAGGGUUUGAGUCCUUGUUAUUAUGAAAUUUAUAUUUCAGCAUCUUGAGAACUAUGACAUUUUAAACUCCUAGAACUUAUGAAGCAGAAUAAUAUUUCAAGUUGUUUACAAUUAGGGUGGACAGGCAAUAAGGCUUCUUGAAUCUGCACAAGUCAUGUACAUUUGACAUCUCAACGUACACGUAGCGCUGCAUCAAUCUUUUGACAUAUCAUUGUCUAAUCAAAUGCUCACGAUUUAGAUGAAGUGGCAAAAUCCAUAUAGUACUUGUUCUUCUCUGAAUACGUUAGUUCCAUGUGGCUUCCGAGGUUGUGCCUUCCGGGAAUUAAAGCAGCAUUAGCAGUACUCUGUACUCAUACCCAUGAUUGACUAAUAUGAUUGCACUACCACUUGUAUUCCUUUUGUUAGUAUGCACGUAAUCUACUAUUCUUUCCGCAUUCAGAUUCUGCCUUGUGGUGUGUUUCUUUGAUUCAGAUUAUGCCUGAACCAGCGGGAGCCUUUGAAGCAGCGAGAGAGUAACGGAUGGGGAAACUGGCAGAUCCUUUUGUGUGGACGACAGCUCGACGGUGGCAACUCGACCAGGUUUGCCGUGAGAAGGCCAGACUAUGCGAGAGAUUUGGCGUGUGUAGUUUAUCUUGUCGCUAAUUACGGUGGAGUGUGGUUAGAUUAUCAGCUUUGUUAGAUGCAUAGGGCAUGGAAGGAGCGGUGGAUAUGAGCUCCUACGGCAGAACUACUAUGCCUUGAGCAACUUCAGAGGAGCCGGCUCCCACUGAGAAUACAUUUUAUUUUCUUUAGCCGAUUAAUUGCAAUAAUUAAUGAGGGCUGAUGCACCCCGGGAGCAGCUGCCAAGAUGGAAGUUGUAGCAAAUAGGACGCCUUCCAUCGAAGGGAAACUCCGGGCAACUCCGCUCUCGUUGGCUGGCGAUGCAUGAUGAGGCCAAUGGACAGCUCGGUGCUACACAAAUGAAUCAAGGAGAACAUGUUAACAGACCAGCAACGUGCUAGGAGGCCAACAGGAGCAUUACCUGGUGUUGACCGGCGGGCAAAUGACAUCAUAUAUGUUUUUGUCCAACCAAGGUAACCCUCCAAACAGUGCUCUAAUAGUCAUUUAUUCCUUAAUGUUUUGGCCUGGAAACAAGUUUAGUUGCAACUCUUUUGCUAUCAUGUUUUCCAAAUUUCGUUCACUAGGGUUCCUUUCUUAUUAUCAUCUUCCAGAUAUAUAUUUUUGCAAUUACAUGAAUUCAGUUCUACUUCUAUCGUGUCUCCUUUUCACAUGUUUGCAUCCAGCUGAAUAUCCAUCUACAUGCAGGAUUUUGUCACAUGUGUAGUGCAGUCUAAAAAUAAUAAGCUAGGAGGUUAUGCCCUACCAUCUGCAAGAACAAUGGAUUGUGUACUGAACAUAAGCUUUUUUUUGCAAGUUUGCUCUCAGUUAUGUCUUUGGCGGGGCAUACUUGAUCAUAGAAUUUGUAUGAAAGGUAAUCGCUAACAAUACGUAUGCAGUUGUUACUUAAAUAUCAGAUUGUUCUAUAUUGUUUAGAUUUAAUUGGAGAAUGCAACUUAAUCAAUUAUGUCAUGUAUUUGCAAGAAGGGGUGCCGGGCAACCUGCUAGGAGAUGGCACAGAUGGGCCUUGAGGACAUGGCACCGUUCAGGAGGGCGGCAUUCCGACAACACUCCAGCAUAGACUCAUCAUGGUACCUAGACGUGGGCUGGUAAACAGAGGUAACAAGGAGCUUGAACAUCAGGACAUCAAGAAGGAAGCUGAUGAUGAUGAAUACGACCAUCUUGGCGUGGAUUGCUGCCGCUGCCAUGCCCAUGUCCAGCAACAUGUUGUUGUGCCAGUGCUGCAACCUUCUACUCCAAACACGAUCGCAGGCAAUGUGAUCAUGAACUUCUGGGAUACUUAACGUUCCCUGUAUUUUUCUAGCAAUGUCUUAGUUAGGACGUAGAUGCAAGGGCUCAUAUAAAUCUCGAUGAACUGAUAUUAGUUACCAUGAUAAUUUGGUUCUAUAUAUGGCCAUAUCCGAAUCAUUUUAGGCUUAUAAUGGCAUUUUCUUUAAUGAUUUAUUUAUAGUAUUACAAUGGUGACAAUGGAGGGAUUCUUCUCUUUUCGUAUACCAUGUAUAUUUCGUGUUUACACCUUCACCGCGGGUCUCUAAAUCUAAACAAAAAAGGUUAUUUUCAUUUUCUUUACUUUACUAUGUUUCGUAUACUUACAUUAUGUUCUUGUAACUGCAUGAUGGUAG
rnacentral:lncRNA from 1 species